rnacentral:ncRNA from 1 species
GGGAGAAGGGGUGCCUCCUCAGGAGGUCGCAGUGACCAGGCCCGGGCGACUGUUUACCAAAAACACAGGUCUCCGCAAAGUCGUAAGACCAUGUAUGGGGGUUGACGCCUGCCCAGUGCCGGAAGGUUAAGGAAGUUGGUGACCUAAUGACGGGGAAGCCAGCGACCGAAGCCCCGGUGAAUGGAAGAUGGAGAUCAGAGGUCUAGAGAGAGGGAGUAAGGUUGGAAGGAGUGUUGAUGACAUGGU